UACGUAGGGCGCAAGCGUUGUCCGGAAUUAUUGGGCGUAAAGAGCUCGUAGGCGGCUUGUCACGUCGGGUGUGAAAGCCCGGGGCUUAACCCCGGGUCUGCAUUCGAUACGGGCUGGCUGGAGUUCGGUAGGGGAGAUCGGAAUUCCUGGUGUAGCGGUGAAAUGCGCAGAUAUCAGGAGGAACACCGGUGGCGAAGGCGGGUCUCUGGGCCGAUACUGACGCUGAGGAGCGAAAGCGUGGGGAGCGAACAGG
rnacentral:rRNA from 1 species